UACGUAGGGUGCGAGCGUUAAUCGGAAUUACUGGGCGUAAAGCGUGCGCAGGCGGUUUUGUAAGCCAGAUGUGAAAGCCCCGGGCUCAACCUGGGAAUGGCAUUUGGGACUGCAAGGCUGGAGUUUGGCAGAGGAGACUGGAAUUCCUGGUGUAGCAGUGAAAUGCGUAGAUAUCAGGAGGAAUACCGAUGGCGAAGGCAGGUCUCUGGGCUGAUAACUGACGCUCAUGCACGAAAGCGUGGGGAGCGAAACAAG
rnacentral:rRNA from 1 species